GAAGCCGGAGUCGCGGCGGUUGCAGUCCCGGCAGCUGUCGCCCGUCGCCAUGCGAGGCCUCAGGCCAGGCCUGACCGCGCGCCGCGUCCUCCCGGUGCUGCGGCCGCCCGGACCCCGGCUGGCGAGCGGGCCGGUGGCGGGCGCCCUGGAGCGGGCCAUGGACGAGAUGCUGCGCCGCUCCGUGCCCGCGACGCCGGCCUACGAGCUGCGCGAGAAGACGCCGGCGCCGGCCGAGGGCCAGUGCGCCGACUUCGUGAGCUUCUACGGCGGCCUGGCCGCGGGGGCCGAGCGCGCCGAGCUGCUGAGCCGCCUGGCGCGGGGCUUCGGCGUGGACCACGGCCAGGUGGCCGAGCAGAGCGCCGGCGUGCUGCAGCUGCGCCAGCAGCCGCGGGAGACGGCCGUGCUGCUGCAGGCCGAGGACCGGCUGCGCUACGCGCUGGUGCCGCGCUACCGCGGCCUCUUCCACCACAUCAGCAAGCUGGACGGCGGCGUGCGCUUCCUGGUGGGGCUGCGCGCCGACCUGCUCGAGGCGCAGGCCCUCAAGCUGGUGGAGGGGCCGCACGUCCGGGAAAUGAACGGGGUGCUAAAAGGCAUGCUCUCGGAGUGGUUUUCUUCAGGGUUCCUCAACCUAGAGCGGGUCACCUGGCACUCUCCAUGUGAAGUGCUUCAGAAAAUCAGUGAGUCUGAAGCUGUGCAUCCUGUAAAGAACUGGAUGGACAUCAAACGGCGCGUCGGGCCAUAUAGAAGGUGUUACUUCUUUUCUCACUGUUCGACCCCCGAGGAGCCCCUGGUCGUUCUGCACGUGGCCCUGACCAGCGAGAUCUCCAGCAACAUCCAGGCCAUCGUGAAGGAGUGCCCCCCGUCGGAAACCGAGGAGAAGAACCGGAUCUCCGCCGCCAUCUUUUACUCCCUCAGCCUGACCCAGGAAGGCCUGCAGGGCGUGGAGCUGGGGACCUUCCUCAUAAAGCGGGUCGUCAAGGAGCUGCAGAAAGAGUUUCCUCACGUCGGGGCGUUUUCAAGUCUGUCUCCUAUACCUGGAUUUACCAAGUGGCUUCUGGGGCUCCUGAACUCACAAGCAAAGGAUCAUGGGAGGAAUGAACUAUUUACAGAUUCUGAAUGUAAAGAAAUCUCUGAGAUCAUAGAUGGUCCCAUUAAUGAGACCCUCAAGGCCUUUCUCAGCAGCAACGAAUGGGUGAAGUCUGAGGAGCUGGUCAGAGUGCUACAGGCCCCCUUGAUGAGGCUCUGUGCCUGGUACUUAUACGGAGAGAAGCACCGGGGCUAUGCCCUGAACCCCGUGGCAAACUUCCACCUGCAGAAUGGGGCAGUGAUGUGGCGCAUCAACUGGAUGGCCGACGUGAGCCUCAAGGGCAUCACCAGCUCGUGUGGCCUGAUGGUCAACUACCGCUACUACCUGGAGGAGACGGCCGCCAACAGCACCAGCUACCGCAGCUCCAAGAGCAUCAAGGCCUCUGAGCAGGUCCUCAGCCUGGUGGCCCAGUUUCAGAAGAACAGCAGACUUUGAACCUGCCCUACAGCAGAUGUCCCCGAAUCAGAAAAGGAUCCUUGUCUGGAUGGGUCGGAGAUUACAUAUCACAAGGGGCUUUCUCAGCAAGGCCAAGUUAAACUGUUCUCCUGGCCCAGCAGGUCACCCUGGGAGUCCCUGACCAGCACCACGCGAGAGCAGGUGCAGCCUCGGACGCUGGACAGAGGUGGUCACAGAUCUCCCCGCCGCCACCCACCACCCACCAGUUCCCGUCUGCCAUCUGCUUGUGACGUUGCCUGAUAACUAGCAGCAUGACGGUCACCACUAGAAAUUUUGCUUGUUCCGAAUCCUGGCGGAGGCAGACUCGUGUUGGCCUGCAUUGCUCUGAGCUAAUUCUGAAGGCCCUUGAGCUCUGGCGCGACCUGCAGGCCCGAGGUCGCCUCCCACGAGGAGUGUAGGAGAAGUCAGCACCUAAGCUGCCUCCGCACGGCAGGCGUGCGCUGGGACCGCAGCCCCUGCUCCCCACAGUCACACCUUACCUCUGUGUGUAACCGCUUGCUAUGGAGAUGUUCAAAUCAGAUACACAGACGUGGGCAGAACAGUACAAUGAGCCUGUGUCCUCACCACCCAGCUCCAUAAUCACCAGUAAUCUCCCCUUCUGAUCGAGCCUUCCUACUUUCUAUUGUGCCUUCCGCUGAGCAGGUGCUCCGUGAAGACGGGCAGGCCGCCUGGACAGAUGG